UGCACGCCCCCUCGUCCUUGUCCCCGCCCAUUUUUCGCGCCUGGGGGGGGCGGGGCAGAGCGGGACCCAGCGGCCGAGGGGUGAGCGGGGGCGGGGGGGUGUCGGGGGGUUUGGGGGGGUCAGGGGGGACACCGAGGGGUGGGGGGGAGGGGCAAAGUGCGGCUGGUGGCAAAGUCCAUCCCAGGGAGGGGUGGGGGGCACAGGUCCCCGGGACCCCCCCGGGACCCCCCCGGCCGCUCUCACCCCAGGACCCGGCAGCAAUGGAGACCCUGAGACGCUGCUUCCGUGGACGGGCCACGCCCACGGCCCUGCCCACGGCUCCACCCCCUCGCCACCCUGGCGCUGGGCUCCGCCUCCGCCUUCCUGGCUGGUAGGGAACUGCCGCGAUCCCCUUACACCCCCUUACACCCCGUUAGCCCCACUGCGCCCCUGUUGCACCCAUUCCACCCCGUUACCCCACUCUACCGCUUACACCGUUUACACCCUGUUACCUCCCUUACACCCCGUUGCACCCCUUACACCCCAUUACCCCGUUCCGCCCAUUGCACCGUUACCUCCCUUACACCCCAUUACAACCCCUUGCCCCCAUUACCCCCUUACCCUCAUUUUACGCCAUUACCUGUGUUACCACAUUGCACCCCGUUACGCUGUUAACCCAUUGCCGUUACACUGCAUUACACCCUGUUACCCCAUUACCCCGGUUACACCCCGUUAUCCCAUUGCACCCUGUUACCCCAAAGAAACCCCGUUAUGCCCCAUUACCGCAACCACACCCCAUUACCCCCCCCCCCCGCCCCCCCGCCCCCCCCUGGCUGAAGCCCCCCCCAUUCCCCCGGCCCCCCCCCCCCCCAGUUCUCUCCCCCCCCCCCCCCCAGGGCUGUUGGUGGCCGGGAUUGGGCACGUCCCCUGUGGGGGUGGGGAGGGGGUGGGGCCUGACCUGGGAGGCUCCACCCCAGAUGAAGCAGGGGGCGGGGCCAGUGCCGAGGCCCCGCCCAUGUGGCCCCGCCUGCGGGAGCUGCUGCAGCGGCACCUGCGGGAGGAACGGAUGUUGGCCUGGGUGCGGUGA
rnacentral:lncRNA from 1 species